rnacentral:rRNA from 1 species
GAUGAACGCUGGCGGCGUGCCUAAUACAUGCAAGUCGAGCGAACAGACGAGGAGCUUGCUCCUCUGACGUUAGCGGCGGACGGGUGAGUAACACGUGGAUAACCUACCUAUCAGACUGGGAUAACUUCGGGAAACCGGAGCUAAUACCGGAUAAUAUAUUGAACCGCAUGGUUCAAUAGUGAAAGACGGUUUUGCUGUCACUUAUAGCUGGAUCCGCGCCGCAUUAGCUAGUUGGUAAGGUAACGGCUUACCAAGGCGACGAUGCGUAGCCGACCUGAGAGGGUGAUCGGCCACACUGGAACUGAGACACGGUCCAGACGCCUACGGGAGGCAGCAGUAGGGAAUCUUCCGCAAUGGGCGAAAGCCUGACGGAGCAACGCCGCGUGAGUGAUGAAGGUCUUCGGAUCGUAAAACUCUGUUAUUAGGGAAGAACAAAUGUGUAAGUAACUAUGCACGUCUUGACGGUACCUAAUCAGAAAGCCACGGCUAACUACGUG